UAGGGAAUAUUGCAAAAUGGGCGAAAGCCCGAUGCAGCAACGCCGCGUGGGCGAUGAAGGCCUUCGGGUCGUAAAGCCCUUUUUGAGGGGAUGAGGAAGGACAGUACCCUCAGAAUAAGCCUCGGCUAACUACGUGCCAGCAGCCGCGGUAAAACGUAGGAGGCGAGCGUUAUCCGGAUUUACUGGGCGUAAAGCGCGUGCAGGCGGAUUGGAGAGUUGGAUGUGAAAGCUCCCGGCUUAACUGGGAGAGGUCGUUCAAUACUUCCAGUCUUGAGUGCAGUAGAGGGCAGUGGAAUUCCGGGUGUAGUGGUGAAAUGCGUAGAUAUCCGGAGGAACACCAGUGGCGAAAGCGGCUUCCUGGACUGUAACUGACGCUCAGACGCGAAAGCUAGGGUAGCAAACG
rnacentral:rRNA from 1 species